ACUCCGUACGGGAGGCAGCAGUAGGGAAUCUUCGGCAAUGGGGGCAACCCUGACCGAGCAACGCCGCGUGAGUGAAGAAGGUUUUCGGAUCGUAAAACUCUGUUGUUAGAGAAGAACGUUAAGUAGAGUGGAAAAUUACUUAAGUGACGGUAUCUAACCAGAAAGGGACGGCUAACUACGUGCCAGCAGCCGCGGUAAUACGUAGGUCCCAAGCGUUGUCCGGAUUUAUUGGGGCGUAAAGCGAGCGCAGGUGGUUUCUUAAGUCUGAUGUAAGAGGUCAGUGGCUCAACCACUUGUGUGCAUUGGAAACUGGGAGACUUGAGUAGCAGGAGAGGAGAGUGGAAUUCCAUGUGUAGCGGUGAAAUGCGUAGAUAUAUGGAGGAACACCGGAGGCGAAAGCGGCUCUCUGGCCUGUAACUGACACUGAGGCUCGAAAGCGUGGGGAGCAAACAGGAUUAGAUA
rnacentral:rRNA from 1 species